CACAAUGCUUAUAGCCAUGGGGAGUUAGCUGCUCUGGUGGAGAGAAGUGAUGCUAAGGGAAGGAGGCAGGAAAAAUUGAAAGAGUGAGGGCAGUGGGGGUAACUAGUUCCAGGGCAGUGAAAAAGGAUGACUUGGGCAUUCAUGAAGCUUUAAUGCCUUCAAAAUCUGGAGGAACUGGAACUGGACCACCCUCCACAGCAUGCAUGCAUAAGGAUCAUCCAGGGAUGCAGUCUUACCAUCCAGGAGCUCAAAGCCACUAUCAACACUACUUUCCUGAUGACAGCACCAACUAUAGAUACUCACCAGUAGAAGAAAAGCAGGAAAGUAGUAUUAGCCAUAGAAAAGAAGGAGGAGGCCAGGUGCGAUGGCUCACACCUGUAAUCCCAGCACUUUGGGAGGCGGAGGCGGGCAGAUCGCUUGAGGUCAGGACUUCGAGACCAGCCUGGCCAACAUGGUGAAACCCAGUCUCUACUAAAAAUACAAAAAUCUGUCAGGUGUUGGGGCAGGUGCCUGUAGUCCCAGCUACUGGGGAGGCUGCGGCAGAAUUGCUUGAACCCAGGAGGUGGAGGUUGCAGUGAGCCAAGAUUGCGCCAUUGCACUCCAGCCUGAGCAACAAAGUAAGACUCCAUCUCAAACAAACAAAAAAAAAAAAAAGGAGGAGGAGAGGUGUGUGAUAAGUCCUGAUGACAUAGGUGUCCUGAUUGUCUAGGCAGCCAAAGGACACAUGGUAAGCCAUCCAAAAGUGCCUUCAGGGCAAAAGAAUAGAGAGAAAAGGGGUCACUGUGCUGGUGGGGUACACUUCAGAGGAGUAAAUUUUAUGUCAAAGCAGGAAUCUGGUCAGAGGUUCCGAAUUGGGAGUACAAUUUCAUUGUUUUUGCAAUUUCUACAAAUUAACUUUAUUGUCAGAAAAAGCUGAUGGUGAGGACAUGCAUUGCAGUUUGCAGGAGGGAAAUGUCAAAUGAGGACUUUAUCACAUAUGACAUGAGAGAAAAGUAAAAGCUAUUUCUAAAAUCAAAAGCUGUUGUUCAUCCUGAAUUGAAUUUUCUUAAUUUGGGUGGUAUAGAGUCUCUUUGAAGUCUUGUUCCAAUCUCCUUCUGUUGCAUUGUUGAUGGUAACUGUUGACUUUGUGUAGUGUAGAAGCAAGAAGCAUGUCCUCAUAGUACAAGUGCAGGGAAGGAUAGAACAAACUUUCGUUGAUGCAAACAUUUAUUAUUUAUUUAUUUAUUUAUUUUUGAGACAGAGUACUGAAUUCACCUCUUGGAAGUAUUGAAAGGAGAUGAACAAGAUUAGUUUCUGCCUUCACUAGCUUACCUUGGUUUUUUUCCACCAGGGAAAAAUCAAUUCGUGGUUCACUACUGUAUUAGGCAAUUCUUGCAUUGCUAUAAAGAAAUGUCUAAGACUUGUUAGUUUAUAAGAAAAGAGAUUUAAUUGGUUCACA
rnacentral:lncRNA from 1 species